UGUCCAUCUUCAACCCCAUGGCCGAAUAUAGCAAGGAGAAACCAUGGCUAGGGUUUUUCAAGCUUCCAAGCUCAAUUUGUUGACAAGCCAGCUCGGAAAUCGGAAGCGGUCGGAGGCACGCUCACACUAUCCGUAUACCAUCUUGGCAUAAUGGCUUGUAUAUUUUGAGUAUGGCAUGUAUAGCAUUAUAAUCAUUUUAUAUGUAUGGUCUUAUGAUAUGGUUAUUGAGUGGUAUGGAAAUAGAAAUGCUUGGUAAUGAUUAGCCAUUGGAAUGGCUAAUCAUGAUCAUAUUUGGUA